ACAGAGUCCGGCUCCGAGGAAUUGCAGGACUUGCUCGUUCGUUUGGGAUGAGAAGUCUCGGCUACACUUACAUUCCAGAAGGAUGUUGCCGAAUUUCAACAACUCUGCUUCUAAGUUGCCAUUUCAAGUGCAUUUUCUACUGCGAAUUGUUACUUACUUGCAUUACUUCCAACAGCAGUGGAUUUUAUCACGAUCCUGUAGCCGAUUGGUACUAUAGCAGUCGAGAUGGUUCUUAUUACAAAUUCGAAAACGGAAGCUAUGUGCUUCUUCAGUCGAACGAGCAGGUGAAGAAUGUAAGAUGUGUCGUGAUAUCCUGUUAAAGGCGAACCAUGGAGAUACGUGUGUACUACCGGCAGCGAGGAUCACUCUUCAUUUGAGGCCAUUGGACUUGAUAGUCUAAAUGAAGAGGAACUGAUGGAGACGGACUACCAUUAGUUCAGGCUAUGGCGAUACAUAGAGGAUAGAGGUGAAUGUUACUACGAUUAAAAUCCUGCAAUCAUGAAUUCUGGUCGAAGAGUGUUAUGUGGAGAGGUGAAUGGCUUCGAGACAAAAAUCAUACUAUAUUGAAUCCAGGCGAAAGUGUGUUUUAUGGAGGUGUUUCGAUGGAUGAAAUAACUGGAAAGCCCCGUAUGGUGAAGUCGCACAUUAUGGUAAAGAAACAAUUCCCAAACUCUCUGUUAUGGACAUCUGGGACUGGUCGACAGUCUCAGAGUCCAGAACAGGGGAAAAGGGCAAAGCUACGAGGUUGGUUGAAAAACUGGUGAGAAAGUCUGCAAAGCUUCAUCUUUCGGUUUCUCCAAUGUUGCUCUUCUUAAAACAGCUCCAAUAUGUGAAUUACAUUUAGAUUUGGUACAAGUUGCAACAGGGAAAAUCUACAACCUACAAAGUCCUAGUAAGAGGUAGUUGGGCUCCAUGUAAGAAAAAGACUGGAGUUUCCCUGAUUUAAUAGAUGGCCAAUUGAUCUUUGCUAAUAACGAGGCAAAAUGUGCGCUGCAUCUACGUUGGUAGAUAGUCUCUCUGCGUCUGCAAAGUUAAAAGCAAAUAAAUUAGCCGAGAGAAGAAUACUUCACGGUGGUUUAGGGGUGGGUCUUGGACCGAAGAAUUCAUCGCGGUGAUAAAACAUCGCCACCCCCUUCUGGCUAUUCCGAGAGCACUGCAGCUGAAACCUUGAAUAUUUCAUUUGGCGCUGGUAGUUACGCACGACAAAUCUUAAAAUGCUUGCGGUGGAAAGAGGUUUGUUAAAUCUAUCCUUGACACUUCAACGAAGUGGUUCAUAU